rnacentral:lncRNA from 1 species
UUUCUCAUCAUCAGAACUGUUGAGUUGUACGGGUUUUGUGUUUUGUCUGCAUUAACGCAUGUGCACAAAUAAAAGACCUGCCACCGAAACAGGUUUAUUUACGAAAUAGUGGUUAGCAGAAUAACUUAUUAAAACAUUGAAAACUCUUGUUAGUAGUCAGUUUCCAGGGAUAGUAUUCAGGAAGCCCUGGGCAGGGGAAUUGAUCACUUAGUAAAUUUGUUGUUAAAGCCAAACCAAACCCUAACUGGAGAACUUUGAGAUAUUACGGCUCUGACCCCACUGUUCCUGUGUUAGUUCUGCUAACAACAUGCGGCUGUUGAGCACUGUUGAAGGGAUAGUAUAUGGGUUUCAAUAUAUUUUGAUACAUUGGCUAAAUAGAAUAAUUAUCAUUAAUUUCACCUGUUUCUUUUUACUUUUUAACAUGUGUUUACUAGAAAAAUGUAAGUGAUAUAGGUGUCUCACAUUGUAUUUCUACGGAUGGGGCUGGUCUCAUUCUGUGUGUCUGAAACUCCAUUACUGGUGCCUUACUGGCUUUACUGGAAGUCUUCAGACAGGUUGUUUGGGUUUCCCACGGGACUGGGCAGGGCUUCUAAUUUUUUUUUUUUAAGUUGAACAAAACUCUGAAACAUAAUGAAUCAAAGUUACAGAUCAUUCUCUAUAUAGUCAAUGGGAGUUAGGAAAGUGGAACCCCUUGGAGCCAGAACAAGUUAAACAGCAAAACAAGUUCUCUGCUUUGAGCAAAGUAUUUCCCCCAAAGGUAUUUCUUUUCUAAGAAUUUGUCCAUUUCUUCUAGGCUUUCCGUUUUAUUUGCAUAGAUUUGCAUGUAGUAGUCUCUUAUGAUCCUUUGUGUUUCUGUGAUGUCUGGUAUAACUUCUCCUUUUUCAUUUCUAAUUUUAUUGAUUCGAAUCCUCUCUUUUUUUUUCUUGAUAAGUCUGGCUAAGGGUUCAUCAAUUUUGUUGAUCUUUUCAGAAAACCAGCUUUUUGUUUCAUUGAUCUUUUCUGUGGUUUUCUUCAUUUCUAUUUCAUUGAUUUCUGCUCUGAUCUUUAUGAUUUCUUUCCUUCUGCUAACUUUAGAUCUUGUUUGUUCUCUCUGUAGCUGCUAUAGACAAAGGUUAUUUCUUAUAGCCCUACUUCUGCCCCUCAUAACUGAGCAACUGCCAUGGAUAUCUUUAGCUUCAGGCUUCAUCACAUUGGUAUCUAGAAAGAGAAAUAGUCCUUUCUCCUCCUUUGGACUACAAGUCGUACUUGGCACACCUUUCUAGGAGAAAGAGUAGCUGCUGGAAUUUGUAAUGGCCUACUGUUUGUGCCUCCAGCAUGUUGGAACAUGCAAUGAUGUGUCAGCUUUGGUGUCAUCCUUAACAGUGAACAUUUGUGAGAAUAACUCAUAGUUGAGGAUAAUUUAUUGAUAAGGGUAUCCCGAAAAACUCGGACAAUCAAUACUGAUGCUUCGGAAUUCCCUUCGUGGCUUAGCAGUUAACCGUGAGCUGUGGUGUAGGAUCUGAGCCACGUCUGUGACCUACACCACGGCUCACGGCAGCACUGGAUCCUUAACCCACUGAGCGAGGCGGGGGAUGGAAUACGAGUUGGGCUUAUUACCCCUGAGCCAUGAUGGGAACUCUGGAUUCUGCACUUCUAACAAGUUCCUGGAUGAUGGUGCGGCAUCUGCUCCAGCUUGGCCCUGGAGUGGGUGGUGGGGCUGACUGUGAUCCCAAUUCACUUGUCAAUUUCAUUUUUUUAAAUCCAAUAAUAACCAAUUAUUAUUUUCUAUUGCUUUGCAUUCAACUUCAGAACAAUUUUGUUUUCAUUUUUCAUCUUAAAUUGACAGGGCUCUUACUGCUUUCCCAUCCCUGGUCUCUCUGUCUGGUGCUUAAAUAAUGCCUUUUUAAGAAAACAAAAUAAGACCAACAAUGACUAAUAUUUAUAUAAAGGUUUCUAUGUGCCAGGAACUGUUUACUGAAAUUCUUGCGACACCUGGUAAGGUAGGCGUGUUAAUUAUCCACAUCUUACAGGUGAGAAAGCUGCGGCAGGUAAAGCUAAAAUAACUUCCUUAGAUGCUCACAUAGUGCAUGGGAACUAGGAUUAUUUUAGGAGUCUAUUUAAAGGAGCCUUUUGUAAAUCAGAGACCCUGGGGAGAGCUGGAACAGUCCAGUCUAAGGUAUAAGUUUUUGUUACUCAUCAUUUGGUUUCAUCAUUUUUUACGAAAUGGGGACCCCACCCUCCUAGAGGCAGCAAUGGUGGUAUUUAUGCAGAAUGCAACCCCAGACUAACUGUGGAGGCUGGUUAAGUCUGGUAUCAUGAUGAGUACCUAGCAUGACCCUGGGGCAAGACCUCAGACAGGGAGCUCAGCUGUGGUUUGCAAAGGAACAAAGAUCCCAGCAAGCAGGACAGAUCCUGCUUCCAUUCUGAUUUGAGUGUAAAUUCAACUUUUGUCAAGCAAAGAUUUUUAAAUUGAUUUAUGGUCAACUUCGGAAGGUUUUUAUUUUUCGUUGUAAAUUGGCAAGGCCCUUGCUACUUUUCUGCCCCCAGUCUCUCAAUCUAGCACUUUAAAAUGUUGAGGGUAUUUCUCACUGUGGCGCGGUGGGAUUGGCGGCGUCACUGCAGCGCUAGAAUGCGGGUUUGAUCCCUGGUCUAGUACAGUAGUUUAAAGGAGCUGAUGUUGUUGCAGCUGCCAUGUAGGUCACAACUGUGGCUCGGAUCUGAUCCCUGGCCCAGGAACUCCAUAUGCUGUGGGGUGGCCAGAAAAAAGAAAAGAAAAGAAAUGAAACAAACAAAAAUGUUAAGAGUAGGAAUAAGACCACUGGAGCACCUGCAAGCCUGCCUUGUGGGUUGUGGGCUGUUCUGAAAGAGCUGUUGUAGAUGGACCUGAACAUGUCCUGCAUGAGGCCAGGGGACGUGGUCUUCAGGAGCUGUGGCUGCCACAUCUUGUGGAAGUGCUCAUACGUUGCUCAGAGCCCAUGGUCAGUUGUAAAGCUGUCUUACUCUGGGACCUAGGACUAGCCACUAACCAUCCCUAGUCUUCAUUUUCGUCUUUUCUAAAAUGAAAGGAUUUGGGACACAACCCAAAUGUCCAUUGACAGGUGAUUGGAUUAGCAAGAUAUGGUAUACAUACACAAUGGAAUACUACUCAGCCAUAAAAAAGAACGUCAUAAUGCCAUUUGCAGCAACAUGGGUGGAACUAGAGUCUCUCACACUUAGUGAAGUUAAGUCAGAAAGAGAAAGACAAAUGCCAUAUGAUAUCACUUAUAUCUGUAAUCUAAUAUAGAGCACAAAUGAACCUUUCCACAGAAAAGAAAAUCAUGGACUUGGAGAAUAGACUUGUGGUUGCCAAGAGGGAGGGGGAGGGAGUGUGGUGGAUGGGGAGCUUGGGGUUAAUAGAUGCAAACUAUGGACUUUGGACUGGAUGAGCAAUGAGAUCUUGCUGUGUAGCACUGGGAACUAUGUCUGGUCACUUAUGGAGCAUGACAAUGUGAGAAAAUAGAAUGUAUACAUGUAUAUGCAACUGGGUCACCAUGCUGUACAGUAGAAAAAAAAUAUAUUGGGGAAAUAAUU